UACGGAGGGGGCUAGCGUUGUUCGGAAUCACUGGGCGUAAAGCGUGCGUAGGCGGCCAUUCAAGUCAGAGGUGAAAGCCCAGGGCUCAACCUUGGAACUGCCUUUGAAACUAGAUGGCUGGAACACGGGAGAGGUGAGUGGAAUUCCGAGUGUAGAGGUGAAAUUCGUAGAUAUUCGGAAGAACACCAGUGGCGAAGGCGGCUCACUGGACCGUUGUUGACGCUGAGGCACGAAAGCGUGGGGAGCAAACAGG
rnacentral:ncRNA from 2 species